rnacentral:rRNA from 1 species
GACGAACGCUGGCGGCGUGCUUAACACAUGCAAGUCGAACGGAAAGGCCCUGCUUUUGUGGGGUGCUCGAGUGGCGAACGGGUGAGUAACACGUGAGUAACCUGCCCUUGACUUUGGGAUAACUUCAGGAAACUGGGGCUAAUACCGGCUAGGAGCUCCUGCUGCAUGGUGGGGGUUGGAAAGUUUCGGCGGUUGGGGAUGGACUCGCGGCUUAUCAACUUGUUGGUGGGGUAUUGGCUUACCCAGGCUUUGACGGGUAGCCGGCCUGAGAGGGUGACCGGCCACAUUGGGACUGAGAUACGGCCCAGACUCCUACGGGAGGCAGCAGUGGGGAAUAUUGCACAAUGGGCGGAAGCCUGAUGCAGCAACGCCGCGUGCGGGAUGGCGGCCUUCGGGCUGUAAACCGCUUUCGCCUGUGACGAAGCGUGAGUGACGGUAAUGGGUAAAGAAGCACCGGCUAACUACGUG